rnacentral:rRNA from 1 species
AUUGAACGCUGGCGGCAUGCCUUACACAAGCAAGUCGAACGGCAGCACGGGUGCUUGCACCUGGUGGCGAGUGGCGAACGGGUGAGUAAUACAUCGGAACGUACCUUAUCGUGGGGGAUAACGCAGCGAAAGCUGUGCUAAUACCGCAUACGCCCUGAGGGGGAAAGCGGGGGAUCGCAAGACCUCGCGCGAUUAGAGCGGCCGAUGCCUGAUUAGCUUGUUGGUGGGGUAAAAGCCCACCAAGGCGACGAUCAGUAGCUGGUCUGAGAGGACGAUCAGCCACACUGGGACGGAGAAACGGCCCAGACUCCGACGGGAGGCAGCAGUGGGGAAUUUUGGACAAUGGGGGCAACCCUGAUCCAGCAAUGCCGCGUGAGUGAAGAAGGCCUUCGGGUUGUAAAGCUCUUUUGUCAGGGAAGAAACACCGGCUCUAACACAGUCGGGGAAUGACGGUACCUGAAGAAUAAGCACCGGCUAACUACGUGCCAGCCGCCGCCGUAA